CGUAAGGCGACCUGGGCCCGCUCGGUAAACAGGCGGCGCGCUCGCUAAAUGUCGCGGAGUUGAAGCGAUGGCCCGGAACGCCCUGCCUGAGACAGAAGGCCGCUCGAACCGGUUAGCCGUGGCUGUGUAACAGGUUACCCCGGACGUGGCCGCUUCCAGCGGAGCCCGUUUAUCAUCCCUUAGCUGGUUCCCCUGUCCCUCACCCUGUCGGAAUGCUGCGGGCAGGGGCCAGCCAGUUGUGGGGGCACCCCCGAGGCCGCCUCUAGGGAAGGGCCCGCUUCCGAGCCCGGGCACUGGCUGUGGGUAGCGGGAGGGCCUCAGUCCACGGCUGCGUGGGCCUCCGAAGGCUGGCGACGUGCUUCAUCAGAGCUAGCAGGAGAAUCUGCAACAUCAGAGCUGUCCGGAGUCUAAUCACAGAAGUGACCCCGUCCUCCUGGCCAGGCACAGGAGGGUAGGGAUCACACAGGCCCGGGUAGAGCAGGAAGCCGGGGUCGCUGGGGAACUCUCAGAGGCUGCUGCCCAAACAGAGCCUGAGCGAAAGCAGGGAGGGGGCGGUCAGCUCAGAGCCUCCCUUGUGGUUUCAUUGUCCCCUGAGAUAAGGGACCUCCCGGUGGUCAUCUCCAUGCAACUUGGACUCCAUCCCAAAAAGCAGCGACGGCACAUUACGGUCUGGCUGGCAACUUAGCCAAAUGGUUUCUGUUCCAGCUUCAUCUCCCUCUCCUCUCAGAUAGGCCACACUCGUUCCUGCUCAUGUUGGCAAGGGAACGACACGAGGUCACUCCUUGUGUCCACCCCUUGUGAGAGACCCUAGUGUGUGCUGCGACUGUCUGCACUUCACAGCCUGGAGUCCGAGACGCGGCCAGAAGGUGGAAACCACCCAAUGUCCGUCAGUAGAUGGAGGAUAAACACAAUCUGUCCGUCCAUCCACACACUGAAAUAUCAUUCAGCCCAAGAAAGGAAGGGACCCUGUCUCCUGCCACGACGCGGAAGGACCCAAGGACACAGGGCUCAGCGAGAGAAGCCAGACCCAGAAGGACUCAUCCUGCAGGUCCCCACUCCCAGGAGGGCCCCAGAGGAGUGAGGAGUCCCAUCCACACAGAGAGGAGAGGGUGCAGGACUCCGCUCCUCCACCCGGCACCCCGCCUCCACUGUCAGCGUACCUUCUAAGUAGAUUGUACGCCCAUCGCAUUGCAGGGCUUGAACUCAUGACCCCGACAUCAAGAAUGGCAUGAUCUACUGACUGAGCUAGCCAGGCACCCCAG